UACAGAGGGUGCUAGCGUUGUUCGGAAUUACUGGGCGUAAAGCGUGCGUAGGUGGUGAGUUAAGUCUGUCGUGAAAGCCCCGGGCUCAACCUGGGAAUGGCGAUGGAUACUGGCUCGCUAGAGUGCGGUAGAGGAGAGUGGAAUUCCCGGUGUAGCAGUGAAAUGCGCAGAUAUCGGGAGGAACACCAGUAGCGAAGGCGGCACUCUGGGCCGGUACUGACGCUGAGGAGCGAAAGCGUGGGGAGCAAACAGG
rnacentral:rRNA from 1 species